AGUAAGCUUAUUAGAGAAGAAUUGGAUAAUAUGGGGAUUCAGUAUAAAUACCCUUUUGCCAAUACUGGUAUUGUUGGCUUCAUUGGUUCAGGAGACCCCCCUUUUGUUGGGAUUAGAGCGGAUAUGGACGCUCUUCCUAUGCAGGAAAUGGUGGACUGGGAGCACAAAAGUAGAAAUCCUGGUAAAAUGCACGCAUGUGGACAUGAUGCUCAUAUUGCAAUGCUUCUUGGUGCUGCAAAGAUUCUUCUACAACAUCAGAACAUUUUGAAGGGAACAGUUGCUCUUGUUUUUCAACCAGCAGAGGAGGGAGGUGGUGGGGCCAAGAAAAUGAUAGAAGCUGGAGCACUAGAAAAUGUAGAAGCAAUAUUUGGUCUGCAUGUCCAUCCCAACUUUCCUUUGGGUAAAGUUUCUUCAAGACCUGGACCCUUUCUGGCGGGAAGUGGUUUUUUUGAAGCUGUAAUUAGUGGAAGAGGGGGUCAUGCCGCUAUUCCACAACAUUCGAUAGAUCCAAUUCUGGCAGCAUCAAAUGUCAUUGUCAGCUUACAGCAUCUAGUUUCCCGAGAGGCUGAUCCUCUGGAUUCUCAGGUAGUCACAGUUGCUAAAUUCCAAGGAGGCGGUGCAUUUAAUGUUAUUCCAGACUCUGUUACCAUCGGUGGCACUUUUCGGGCUUUUUCAAAGGAGAGCUUUCUGCAGCUUAGGCAACGAAUUGAAGAGGUUAUUGUUGGGCAAGCUGCUGUACAGAGGUGCAAUGCAACUGUGGAUUUUCUUACAAACAGCAAACCCUUCUUCCCUCCAACCGUGAAUGACAAAAACUUGCACAAACACUUCCAGAGAGUUGCAGGUGAUAUGCUUGGUAACGAUCAUGUAAAAGACAUGGAACCACUAAUGGGAUCAGAGGAUUUUGCGUUUUACCAAGAGGUUAUCCCGGGUUACUUCUACAUGCUCGGAAUGCAGGGUGAAACAAAUGAAAACCCUGCAUCAGUCCAUUCACCUUACUUCAAAAUAAACGAAGAAGCACUUCCUUUGGGUGCUGCACUUCAAGCAUCUUUGGCUAUUACAUAUCUUCUCGAAGCACAACCACAAGUUCCUUCAUCAAGUAUAAAUGGUCACGAUGAAUUGUGAGGUGCUACUCUUUUGUAGGCAUAUGCACGAAAUAGAUCCUUGUUCAUUUAUAUGUAAUGCUGGAACCGGCCAAUCUAGCUUGAAAUAUCUGGAACAAGGUCAACGUCUACAUAACAAUUAUUUACUUCAACAACAAUAACAACGUUGUAUAUUU
rnacentral:misc_RNA from 1 species